CGCCCGUGCGGCAGCUAUAAUGCAGUCGAGCGGACAGAUGGGAGCUUGCUCCCUGAUGUUAGCGGCGGACGGGUGAGUAACACGUGGGUAACCUGCCUGUAAGACUGGGAUAACUCCGGGAAACCGGGGCUAAUACCGGAUGGUUGUUUGAACCGCAUGGUUCAGACAUAAAAGGUGGCUUCGGCUACCACUUACAGAUGGACCCGCGGCGCAUUAGCUAGUUGGUGAGGUAACGGCUCACCAAGGCGACGAUGCGUAGCCGACCUGAGAGGGUGAUCGGCCACACUGGGACUGAGACACGGCCCAGACUCCUACGGGAGGCAGCAGUAGGGAAUCUUCCGCAAUGGACGAAAGUCUGACGGAGCAACGCCGCGUGAGUGAUGAAGGUUUUCGGAUCGUAAAGCUCUGUUGUUAGGGAAGAACAAGUGCCGUUCAAAUAGGGCGGCACCUUGACGGUACCUAACCAGAAAGCCACGGCUAACUACGUGCCAGCAGCCGCGGUAAUACGUAGGUGGCAAGCGUUGUCCGGAAUUAUUGGGCGUAAAGGGCUCGCAGGCGGUUUCUUAAGUCUGAUGUGAAAGCCCCCGGCUCAACCGGGGAGGGUCAUUGGAAACUGGGGAACUUGAGUGCAGAAGAGGAGAGUGGAAUUCCACGUGUAGCGGUGAAAUGCGUAGAGAUGUGGAGGAACACCAGUGGCGAAGGCGACUCUCUGGUCUGUAACUGACGCUGAGGAGCGAAAGCGUGGGGAGCGAACAGGAUUAGAUACCCUGGUAGUCCACGCCGUAAACGAUGAGUGCUAAGUGUUAGGGGGUUUCCGCCCCUUAGUGCUGCAGCUAACGCAUUAAGCACUCCGCCUGGGGAGUACGGUCGCAAGACUGAAACUCAAAGGAAUUGACGGGGGCCCGCACAAGCGGUGGAGCAUGUGGUUUAAUUCGAAGCAACGCGAAGAACCUUACCAGGUCUUGACAUCCUCUGACAAUCCUAGAGAUAGGACGUCCCCUUUCGGGGGCAGAGUGACAGUGGUGCAUGGUUGUCGUCAGCUCGUGUCGUGAGAAUGUUGGGUUAAGUCCCGCAACGAGCGCAACCUUGAUCUUAGUUGCAGCAUCAGUGGCACCUCUAAGGUGACUGCGGUGACAAACCGGAGGAAAGGGUGGGGAUGACGUUCAAUCAUCAU
rnacentral:rRNA from 1 species